rnacentral:rRNA from 1 species
AUUGAACGCUGGCGGCAGGCCUAACACAUGCAAGUCGAACGAGUGGCGGACGGGUUAGUAAUGUCUGGGAAACUGCCCGAUGGAGGGGGAUAACUACUGGAAACGGUCGCUAAUACCGCAUACCCUCAGAGGUGCCCAGAUGGGAUUAGAUUGUUGGUGGGGUAACGGCUCACCAUGGCGACGAUCCCUAGCUGGUCGGAGAGGCUGACCAGCAACAUGGGAACGGAUCAACGGUCCAGAUUCCUACGGGAGCCAGCAGGGGGGAAUAUUGGACAAGGGGGGCAAGCCGGAGGCAGCCAGGCCGCGUGUAUGAAGCAGGCUUUCGGGUUUUAAAGUACUUUCAGCGGGGAGGCGUUACCCGCAGAAGAAGCACCGGCUAACUCCGUGCCAGCAGCCGCGGUAAUAC